rnacentral:rRNA from 1 species
UGGGGAAUAUUGCACAAUGGAGGGAACUCUGAUGCAGCGACGCCGCGUGAGUGAUGAAGGAAUUCGUUUCGUAAAACUCUGUUCUAUGGGAAGAAAAGGACUGUACCAUAGGAGAAAGCUCCGGCUAAAUACGUGCCAGCAGCCGCGGUAAUACGCAUGGAGCGAGCGUUGUCCGGAAUUAUUGGGCGUAAAGGGUGCGCAGGCGGCUUUACAAGUUGGAUGUGAAAUAUUGUGGCUCAACCACAAACGUGCAUCCAAAACUGCAAAGCUUGAGUUAAGGAGAGGUAAGUGGAAUUCCUGGUGUAGCGGUGGAAUGCGUAGAUAUCAGGAGGAAUACCGGUGGCGAAGGCGACUUACUGGACUUAAACUGACGCUCAGGCACGAAAGCGUGGGGAGCAAACAGG